CCUCGUCUAAGUGUAUCAACCCUAACAAUUUGGAUAAAAAUUCUAAUUAUAUUAAAGAAUGAUUUUCAUUUGUUGUGUAUCUAUAUGGAGGACAAGUUACAUCCAGGAAAAAUGAACAUGGAGAAGAAUUGCUAUUCAACCAUAAAUAUAUGUUUAAUUUUUAUUGAUACAUUAAAUGCUAAAAUGAAUCAAUAUUUAUGAAACUCUUCAAGGAUAAUAUGUGUUUUGGCUUAUAUAAUUUCAGGUUAAUAAUAAUAGUAGAGCAGUGAUUUCAGACUAAUAACAGUAGUAGAGAUGUGGAUCCAUUAUGGAUAUAUAUGUAUUUUAGCUUAGAUAGAUUUUAAUCCAUAUACAGUUCUCAAAUCUUGGUUCUUUUGACCAUCAUGGAUUCUUAAGGAACAAGUUGUGGACCUUAAAUCCCAAUCCUCCUUCAUUUCCAACAAAUAACAGUAGUAGCAAUUUCAUUUAUUUGAUUCUUAAAACCAAUAAAUAACAGUAGUAGAGCUUUCAUUUAUUUGAUUCUUAAGAAUUCUGAAGAUGAUUUCGGUGGUGGACGAUAUCCAUUGCAGAAAUAAAAAAGGAAAAAUACGAAGAUGAAAGAACGGUUGAAAACAAAGAGAGAGAAAAUACAAUUGUAAAAAGAGGAAGAAGUAAGAGAUAAGGGUGAAAUCAGGCCAGCAAAUGAAAGAGUGACAUGUUUACCUGGAUAUGAUAAAAUGCAAGAUAAAGUUCUCUGUUAUGUUUUGUUUGUUUCAGAUUCAUCACUUUUGAUUCUGUUACCCUUUUCUUUAUUGAAUUUCUAUUCCAAGAUUGAAUUUUUAUUCACUUGUUCUCUGAAAAAGUGUUUGGUGUUUUAAUUGUGUUCUUCUCUGAAGAUGGUUGUAGAGAAUCAAAAGGUUAAUUUGAGGGAUGAAGAUGGGGUCAUUUUCCCGUGGGUAUGCGUGUUCUUGCUGUUGAUGACAACCCAACUUGUCUCAUGGUUUUGGUCUUUAAGGUUUUUUUGAAUAUUGGUUCAAACCUGGAUUUGCUUUAAACCCAGAUUUUACUUUUUAAUUUUGAAGAACUUUGAUGUUGUAGCAGUAUCAGUUGAGGUAAGCAAAUUGCUUUGAAAAUGGAAAUCAAAAUCCAAAUCGUACAUCUCAACAUUUCAGUAUUUUGUUCUAAUCUUUAUUCUAUCUCGAAGAAUAUUUAAUCCACAUCAGCAUCAGAUAUCAGUCAAGUGUCUUUUUUUUUUAAACACAAACCUAACAAAAGGGUCUAAUGUGACGCUGUUUGAAGAGAUAAGAUAUGAAAUUAUUCUUUUUUAAAAUUGAGGGAUCAAAAUAAAAUUUGAGAUAGAGAUAAGGAACCAGGUAUUUAGCCUAACAGAAAUGUUAAAAGUUAAUAGUUUAAAAUAUUAACAAAAUUCAAUUAUCAUUGUGUAAUGUGUAUGCAAACAAAUGGAAUGUAACUAUACUAUUUUAUUAUUUAAACUUUGAAAAAAAAGAA
rnacentral:lncRNA from 1 species